CUCCUCCUUGGGAGAUAGAUCCCUUUUAAUUAAGUUUCAUUUGAAGUAAUUAACACUUUAGGAAAGAAACAUUUUAUUUGAUUUAUCAUCAAUGCGUUAAAAUGACUAGGCCUUAGUUACUAAUCUGAAAAUAUUUCAUGAUAAUAAAUAAACAUACUUUUCUUGAUUGGUAUUUCUUUGAUUUAAACGGUCAUGGAAACUCAGCUCAUCUCUGACAAAAACAAAGGAAACAAAUCUCUCCGUUAAGCUCUAGGUAAGAGUACAACUCACAUGUAUCUGUUUCUUCUAGGCUUCCUUCUGCUUCUUGCUCUAGUUGUCAUUCUUAUGUACUCCUUCUCACUACCUUUUCGAUUUAGCUUCUGUGAAACGUUCUAGUCUUUUCGAUAUGUUCCAUCUUUGUACAGUUCAAGACAUUGAUCUGUUUCUUCGCGUCUAGUUUUAAGGCUCUCAGGUAAAAGUCUUGUCGAUCUUUCUUAAAAUAUCGGUGGUUUAAAGACAAAAGAGGACGGGGUUUAAAGACAAAAGGAUGAAGCUUUGCGUUUUUUUUUGUGUUCAGUCUCCGGCGCAUGGCUCACGCUCCG
rnacentral:lncRNA from 1 species